rnacentral:tRNA from 1 species
AUUUUUAUAGCUUAUAUUAGAGUAUAAUAUUGAAAAUAUUAUGGAGAUGAAUUCUAAGAAUA